rnacentral:rRNA from 1 species
UUAAGCGACUAAGCGUACACGGUGGAUGCCCUGGCAGUCAGAGGCGAUGAAGGACGUGCUAAUCUGCGAUAAGCGUCGGUAAGGUGAUAUGAACCGUUAUAACCGGCGAUUUCCGAAUGGGGAAACCCAGUGUGUUUCGACACACUAUCAUUAACUGAAUCCAUAGGUUAAUGAGGCGAACCGGGGGAACUGAAACAUCUAAGUACCCCGAGGAAAAGAAAUCAACCGAGAUUCCCCCAGUAGCGGCGAGCGAACGGGGAGGAGCCCAGAGCCUGAAUCAGUGUGUGUGUUAGUGGAAGCGUCUGGAAAGGCGCGCGAUACAGGGUGACAGCCCCGUACACAAAAAUGCACAUGCUGUGAGCUCGAUGAGUAGGGCGGGACACGUGGUAUCCUGUCUGAAUAUGGGGGGACCAUCCUCCAAGGCUAAAUACUCCUGACUGACCGAUAGUGAACCAGUACCGUGAGGGAAAGGCGAAAAGAACCCCGGCGAGGGGAGUGAAAAAGAACCUGAAACCGUGUACGUACAAGCAGUGGGAGCACGCUUAGGCGUGUGACUGCGUACCUUUUGUAUAAUGGGUCAGCGACUUAUAUUCUGUAGCAAGGUUAACCGAAUAGGGGAGCCGAAGGGAAACCGAGUCUUAACUGGGCGUUAAGUUGCAGGGUAUAGACCCGAAACCCGGUGAUCUAGCCAUGGGCAGGUUGAAGGUUGGGUAACACUAACUGGAGGACCGAACCGACUAAUGUUGAAAAAUUAGCGGAUGACUUGUGGCUGGGGGUGAAAGGCCAAUCAAACCGGGAGAUAGCUGGUUCUCCCCGAAAGCUAUUUAGGUAGCGCCUCGUGAACUCAUCUCCGGGGGUAGAGCACUGUUUCGGCAAGGGGGUCAUCCCGACUUACCAACCCGAUGCAAACUGCGAAUACCGGAGAAUGUUAUCACGGGAGACACACGGCGGGUGCUAACGUCCGUCGUGAAGAGGGAAACAACCCAGACCGCCAGCUAAGGUCCCAAAGUCAUGGUUAAGUGGGAAACGAUGUGGGAAGGCCCAGACAGCCAGGAUGUUGGCUUAGAAGCAGCCAUCAUUUAAAGAAAGCGUAAUAGCUCACUGGUCGAGUCGGCCUGCGCGGAAGAUGUAACGGGGCUAAACCAUGCACCGAAGCUGCGGCAGCGACGCUUAUGCGUUGUUGGGUAGGGGAGCGUUCUGUAAGCCUGUGAAGGUGUGCUGUGAGGCAUGCUGGAGGUAUCAGAAGUGCGAAUGCUGACAUAAGUAACGAUAAAGCGGGUGAAAAGCCCGCUCGCCGGAAGACCAAGGGUUCCUGUCCAACGUUAAUCGGGGCAGGGUGAGUCGACCCCUAAGGCGAGGCCGAAAGGCGUAGUCGAUGGGAAACAGGUUAAUAUUCCUGUACUUGGUGUUACUGCGAAGGGGGGACGGAGAAGGCUAUGUUGGCCGGGCGACGGUUGUCCCGGUUUAAGCGUGUAGGCUGGUUUUCCAGGCAAAUCCGGAAAAUCAAGGCUGAGGCGUGAUGACGAGGCACUACGGUGCUGAAGCAACAAAUGCCCUGCUUCCAGGAAAAGCCUCUAAGCAUCAGGUAACAUCAAAUCGUACCCCAAACCGACACAGGUGGUCAGGUAGAGAAUACCAAGGCGCUUGAGAGAACUCGGGUGAAGGAACUAGGCAAAAUGGUGCCGUAACUUCGGGAGAAGGCACGCUGAUAUGUAGGUGAAGUCCCUCGCGGAUGGAGCUGAAAUCAGUCGAAGAUACCAGCUGGCUGCAACUGUUUAUUAAAAACACAGCACUGUGCAAACACGAAAGUGGACGUAUACGGUGUGACGCCUGCCCGGUGCCGGAAGGUUAAUUGAUGGGGUUAGCGCAAGCGAAGCUCUUGAUCGAAGCCCCGGUAAACGGCGGCCGUAACUAUAACGGUCCUAAGGUAGCGAAAUUCCUUGUCGGGUAAGUUCCGACCUGCACGAAUGGCGUAAUGAUGGCCAGGCUGUCUCCACCCGAGACUCAGUGAAAUUGAACUCGCUGUGAAGAUGCAGUGUACCCGCGGCAAGACGGAAAGACCCCGUGAACCUUUACUAUAGCUUGACACUGAACAUUGAGCCUUGAUGUGUAGGAUAGGUGGGAGGCUUUGAAGUGUGGACGCCAGUCUGCAUGGAGCCGACCUUGAAAUACCACCCUUUAAUGUUUGAUGUUCUAACGUGGACCCGUGAUCCGGGUUGCGGACAGUGUCUGGUGGGUAGUUUGACUGGGGCGGUCUCCUCCUAAAGAGUAACGGAGGAGCACGAAGGUUGGCUAAUCCUGGUCGGACAUCAGGAGGUUAGUGCAAUGGCAUAAGCCAGCUUGACUGCGAGCGUGACGGCGCGAGCAGGUGCGAAAGCAGGUCAUAGUGAUCCGGUGGUUCUGAAUGGAAGGGCCAUCGCUCAACGGAUAAAAGGUACUCCGGGGAUAACAGGCUGAUACCGCCCAAGAGUUCAUAUCGACGGCGGUGUUUGGCACCUCGAUGUCGGCUCAUCACAUCCUGGGGCUGAAGUAGGUCCCAAGGGUAUGGCUGUUCGCCAUUUAAAGUGGUACGCGAGCUGGGUUUAGAACGUCGUGAGACAGUUCGGUCCCUAUCUGCCGUGGGCGCUGGAGAACUGAGGGGGGCUGCUCCUAGUACGAGAGGACCGGAGUGGACGCAUCACUGGUGUUCGGGUUGUCAUGCCAAUGGCACUGCCCGGUAGCUAAAUGCGGAAGAGAUAAGUGCUGAAAGCAUCUAAGCACGAAACUUGCCCCGAGAUGAGUUCUCCCUGACUCCUUGAGAGUCCUGAAGGAACGUUGAAGACGACGACGUUGAUAGGCCGGGUGUGUAAGCGCAGCGAUGCGUUGAGCUAACCGGUACUAAUGAACCGUGAGGCUUAACCUU